GAUCGUGGCUCAGUGGUAACGUGUUUUCCUAGAAUGUCUAAGACCCUGGGUUUGAUUCCCAGCAUCA
rnacentral:tRNA from 1 species